AUUGAACGCUGGCGGCAGGCCUAACACAUGCAAGUCGAAUGGUAACAGGAAACAGCUUGCUGUUUCGCUGACGAGUGGCGGACGGGUGAGUAAUGUCUGGGAAACUGCCUGAUGGAGGGGGAUAACUACUGGAAACGGUAGCUAAUACCGCAUAACGUCGCAAGACCAAAGAGGGGGGGCUUCGGGCCUCUUGCCAUCAGAUAUGCCCGGAUGGGAUUCGCUAGUAGGUGGGGUAACGGCUCACCUAGGCGACGAUCCCUAGCUGGUCUGAGAGGAUGACCAGCCACACUGGAACUGAGACACGGUCCAGACUCCUACGGGAGGCAGCAGUGGGGAAUAUUGCACAAUGGGCGCAAGCCUGAUGCAGCCAUGCCGCGUGUAUGAAGAAGGCCUUCGGGUUGUAAAGUACUUUCAGCGGGGAGGAAGGGAGUAAAGUUAAUACCUUUGCUCAUUGACGUUACCCGCAGAAGAAGCACCGGCUAACUCCGUG
rnacentral:rRNA from 1 species